rnacentral:lncRNA from 1 species
AUAAUAAUAUGGAAAAAAUUAAUGAAGUUUUGUUGGACUCUGUAACAACUAGUUGGAGUGGUUAAUCUGUUCCUUUACAUGAUAAUGUAUACUCAGAUGCAUCUUGUAAUGUGCAAUUGCAAGUUUCCAAAUACAUGCAAAGUAAAGAAAAUUGUUGGCGACAUGUAUUAAAGUCUUCUGUCAUAGUUGACUCAGCAAGAAUGAAGACAUUGAUACACUUUUGCAUUAUGGAAUACCCAAUUUGGCAGUUCCUCGCCCACUGCCACCCAAAUACAGGUAAAUAAAUUUCCAAUGUUUCCC